rnacentral:rRNA from 1 species
CGUGUCGUCAGCUCGUGUCGUGAGAUGUUGGGUUAAGUCCCGCAACGAGCGCAACCCCUACCUUUAGUUGCCAUCAGGUUAAGCUGGGGACUCUAAAGGAACUGCCUACGCAAGUAGUGAGGAAGGCGGGGAUGACGUCAAAUCAGCACGGCCCUUACGUCCAGGGCUACACACGUGCUACAAUGGCCGAUACAGAGGGCAGCUACCUGGUGACAGGAUGCAAAUCUCCAAAGUCGGUCUCAGUUCGGAUCGGAGUCUGCAACCCGACUCCGUGAAGUUGGAUUCGCUAGUAAUCGCGCAUCAGCCAUGGCGCGGUGAAUACGUUCCCGGGCCUU